rnacentral:rRNA from 1 species
AGUGAACGCUGGCGGUAGGCCUAACACAUGCAAGUCGAACGGCAGCACAGUAAGAGCUUGCUCUUACGGGUGGCGAGUGGCGGACGGGUGAGGAAUACAUCGGAAUCUACUUUUUCGUGGGGGAUAACGUAGGGAAACUUACGCUAAUACCGCAUACGACCUACGGGUGAAAGCAGGGGAUCUUCGGACCUUGCGCGAUUGAAUGAGCCGAUGUCGGAUUAGCUAGUUGGCGGGGUAAAGGCCCACCAAGGCGACGAUCCGUAGCUGGUCUGAGAGGAUGAUCAGCCACACUGGAACUGAGACACGGUCCAGACUCCUACGGGAGGCAGCAGUGGGGAAUUUUGGACAAUGGGCGCAAGCCUGAUCCAGCCAUACCGCGUGGGUGAAGAAGGCCUUCGGGUUGUAAGGCCCUUUUGUUGGGAAAGAAAAGCAGCAGGUUAAUACCCCGCUGUUCUGACGGUACCCAAAGAAUAAGCACCGGCUAACUUCGUG